GCUGAGAUUACAUGAAGAAACUUUGAAAUGUGAGCUGAAGGUUUGACACAUGUGUCUUAUGUCAGGGCUUCAUCGGACCUCCAGGAGUUGCCGGACCACCCGGACCGGAGGGAGAGAGAGGAAUUCCAGGUCCUGCGGGGAUCAAGGGACCUAAAGGAAGACAGGGUGUUGUGGGUGAUGUGGGUGAGAGAGGACCGCCUGGACCGGACGGAAACGAGGGACCUGUUGGGGGAACCGGCAGCGGGGGUUUCCCGGGUCUCAGAG